UAUCUUUAUAUAUAAAGAACUGUUUUCAUCCCUCCCGUGAUGCCACGUCGUCGUCCAUGUCACUAAUUCGCUUCCUACCAUCGUUACACGUGUCCAUACGAGUAAAGCGCAGCGCUUUGUUAAAUGAAAGUAUAUUCUGGGCUUUAGAUCGUGAAAGGGUAACGUACAAGUGAAGACAUGUGUUUCUUCUUUCUUCUACAUUCGACGGCUACAUGACGCUCGAGUUUCUUCGCGGUUACUGAAUCGGAUUUCUUUAUGGUUCUUGGGGUUUAAUCUCAUUAACUCUGACGCCCACAAUGAGCUAUUUAAUGUGUUGUUUGCGUCGGUGAAGCUCUGUCAUUUCGGGUAUAAAUAUGUUUGUAAUUCUCUUCUGGAUAUCAUCGUCUCCUCAUCUCUCUUCUCUAUACUAAUUCGCGGGUUGAUGGCUAACUCGACGGUGUUUUUCUCCGAUUUGAAGUUCGGCAAGUGUUCCACCGAGGAGGACGAUGUGCAGUGUAAGCCGCUCUUUAGGAUCUUACGGGUUAAAGUCAUAUACUGAGACAUCAAGGCCUCGAACAUCUUGCUGGACUUGUUUUCAGACUCUGUGUUAGAAAAAUACGGUCCCAUGAGAGAAACAAGCUAUUUUAGUACAGAAAUCAUGGGUACAUUCGGCUAUGCGGCUCUUGACUAUGUGGCAACAGAUUUCAAGAAAGCGUUGGAUUGGCAAACAAUAUUUGGGAAAGAGACACAGCUAAGACACCGUUUUCAAAGCGAAGAUGCAAAUAUAUGAACAAAAGGAAAGCUUUUUAUUUCUCUUUUUUUACUGGAAAGACAAACUUUUGUGAUGCUGAUGAGUGUUUUUUUGUCUCAGAGAGUAGAGGAGGAGAAUUAAAAUUUCAGGUGGGAUCACAAGAACUCUAUACAGAACAAUGGAGAGACCCUCUGGAGGGAUGGGUUAUGUGUAAUGUGGCAAGAGAAGUCCAUGGUUGAUGCGGCAUGGGGUCUCAGAGAUGUGAAAUAGACUGGUGCUUUGUCAUAGUAGGAGGAAGUUCAUUGGUUGUCAUUUGGAGGAUGAAGCCAAGAUGAUAACUAUUUUGUGGGCAGUAGAAAGCAUGACCAGCCAAAGAGUAAAGAAUGCCAUAUUUGCAGGUGAAAUCAAGGAAUAUUUUCUUUUUCGAGCUAUACCUGAUGCUUGGCCUGCGUUGAGCUUUCAAGAUAUGGAGGUGAUGACUGCUCUCUCUGGUCUGGAUGACAAGGUUGGUUAGUGAAUACGGUGCACUAAAAUGCCAAUAGAGUAGCUUCUUUCAUAGUUCAUAGUUUAAUCAAUAUGGGUUUUGUUCCGUCGUAUAUAUGUAGCUAAAUUUAAUUAUAGUUAAUUACAUUUAUAAGAUACAAAGACAGUAUACAACCACACAAGAAAAAAUGACGAGAUUUCGAGAUAAAUCAAAUAGACAACACUUAAUUAAACACACAUUACUUUUACAGCUCCAUUUCAACUCUCAUUUUGAGAAAAUGGCAGACCUCAUAAAACAAUAAGACUGUGUUCACAUAAAUACAACCCUAAGAAAUUGUGUGACAGUAAAUUACUACUCUACUAUUUCGAUAAAGAAAUAAUCAUCAAACAAUAA